AAUAUUGCACAAUGGGCGAAAGCCUGAUGCAGCCAUGCCGCGUGUGUGAAGAAGGCCUUCGGGUUGUAAAGCACUUUCAGUUGUGAGGAAAGGGAUGUAGUUAAUAACUGCAUUCUGUGACGUUAGCAACAGAAGAAGCACCGGCUAACUCCGUGCCAGCAGCCGCGGUAAUACGGAGGGUGCGAGCGUUAAUCGGAAUUACUGGGCGUAAAGCGUGCGUAGGCGGAUUGUUAAGCGAGAUGUGAAAGCCCCGGGCUCAACCUGGGAACUGCAUUUCGAACUGGCAGUCUAGAGUUUUGUAGAGGGUGGUGGAAUUUCCAGUGUAGCGGUGAAAUGCGUAGAGAUUGGAAGGAACAUCAGUGGCGAAGGCGGCCACCUGGACAAAAACUGACGCUGAGGCACGAAAGCGUGGGGAGCAAACAGGAUUAGAUACCCUGGUAGUCCACGCCGUA
rnacentral:rRNA from 1 species